CGUCAAGCAUGCGCACUCACCAGAGGUCAACUUCAUUUUUCAGCUACCGGUAUCUUCGAAUUCAUCACCUCCGUUUUCCGGUUCUAGUGAGAAACAGGUGUACAACAGCUCUCUCUGACUGGAAGGUCUCCGCGUGUGAUGUUGAUCUCCAUGUUGCCUGCACCACGGAGCAGAAAGACCGGCCAAAGAGCGAGAGACGGCAGCUGAAACAGCAGACAACAGCCCCAUCUACAGAUUCUUUUCAGUCACUGUGAUACAGAGUGGACACGAGCUGGUGUGACACUUGAAUUUCCCUGCAUGGAAUCAAAAAUGUUUGAUAUUCAUAUUGGAAUUAAAGGAGAACUAAAAAUGA